AUUGAACGCUGGCGGCAGGCCUAACACAUGCAAGUCGAGCGGAAACGAAGGGAGCUUGCUCCCAGGCGUCGAGCGGCGGACGGGUGAGUAACACGUGAGAAUCUGCCCAUUAGUGGGGGACAACUCGGGGAAACUCGUGCUAAUACCGCAUAAUCCCUACGGGGGAAAGCAGGGGACCUUUUGGCCUUGCGCUGAUGGAUGAGCUCACGUCGGAUUAGCUUGUUGGUGAGGUAAAGGCUCACCAAGGCGACGAUCCGUAGCUGGUCUGAGAGGAUGAUCAGCCACACUGGGACUGAGACACGGCCCAGACUCCUACGGGAGGCAGUAGUGGGGAAUCUUGGACAAUGGGGGCAACCCUGAACCAGCCAUGCCGCGUGCAGGAAGACGGCUCUAUGAGUUGUAAACUGCUUUUAAACAGGGAUAAAGCACAGUAUGUAUACUGUGUUGAAGGUACUGUAAGAAUAAGGAUCGGCUAACUCCGUGCCAGCCGCCGCGGUAA
rnacentral:rRNA from 1 species